UUGAGUUCAAUGAGUGCCUUCUCUUCGGAGUUGGCCAUCCAUACACACCGUGAACUGUGGCUUCGGCCAUCACAAACUGUUAGUAAUGAAUGUAAUAUCAUAACAAAAACAAAACUUUUAACAACGGAUCUCUUGGCUCUCGCAUCGAUGAAGAACGCAGCGAAAUGCGAUAAGUAAUGUGAAUUGCAGAAUUCAGUGAAUCAUCGAAUCUUUGAACGCACCUUGCGCCCUUUGGUAUUCCGAAGGGCAUGCCUGUUUGAGUGUCAUGAAACCUCACCCCACUUGGGUUUUUGCCUGAGCGGUGGUGUAUUGGGUGUUGCCUUGCCAAAGGCUCGCCUUAAAAACAUAAGCACCUUGGAUGUAAUACGUUUCAUCCUUCUGGGUGGCUGAUAACCCCACAUAUUCAUGAUCUGGCCUCAAAUCAGGUAGGGCUACCCGCUGAACUUAAGCAUAUCAAUAAGCGGAGGAAUCUUGCUGAAAAACUCGAGCCAUCCGGAAGAUCUGGCGGCCGCUCUCCCUAUAGUGAGUCGUAUUACGCCGGAUGGAUAUGGUGUUCAGGCACAAGUGUUAAAGCAGUUGAUUUUAUUCACUAUGAUGAAAAAAACAAUGAAUGGAACCUGCUCCAAGUUAAAAAUAGAGAUAAUACCGAAAACUCAUCGAGUAGUAAGAUUAGAGAUAAUACAACAAUAA
rnacentral:rRNA from 1 species